UUAGGUUCAGAACAUCAUGUCAACCAAGUCCAAUUAUCCAGCAACUUAUUUUAUGAAAAUGGAACCGAAAUCGUAAUCAGCAGUACACCACUAGAAGUUUAAUGAAUACCUUAAGAAUGAACAUAUAUGCAAAUGGGACUUACAUUCCAAUCGUUAAAUUAGAAAACAAACAAUAAAGGAGUGCAAUGACUAAAAGCUUAGCCACUGCAAUAUUUUAAUAUUUCUUAUUACUUAAAAAAGCUAAUAAAACCAAACAGUCAUCCAGUUCUUCCGCCAAAAGCUACCCACAAACUAUUAAGAAAACGGGCAAAAAACUAUAGCAGCAAGUAAUCACCUUUUGCAGCUUUCCCCCACCCCGGCCGGAAAAAGAAAAUAGUAUAUAUAAUUAGUAUUAUAUAAAAUAAAUAAAUAAAUAAAUAAAAGAAAUAAUGAAAGCUCGUAAAUGUGUAUGUGAGUAUCUCACCAACAAAAGACUGAUUGAGAAAGUUCAAGCAUAGUAGUUGAAAAUGAAAGUUUUAACCAAAUGACAGAGUAAGGGAAACAAGGAAGAUUACUCUUUUAGCGUCGAGGCAUGAAAAACAGGAGCUCCAGUAGGUUGUGCCAUGGUAAAAGUAACGGAGAAAGUGAGAGAAAAUAAGAGAAUGUACCUUUCUCGGAAACCAAACAGAACGGAAGGAAAGGGAAAAGCCGCUAAGAAUCGGAGUGGAAAUGAGAGCCCAUUCUCCGAAAGAGAAAAAUCUGAGAAAGCAAUGCCUAGGGUUUCGCGGCGUUGAAGUUAGAGAGCGAAAAUGCGUACCAGAGUCGUCUUCUCUCUCUGUCACUCUCACUCUCUCUGGCUCUGCUGGUGACAGAAAUGAGAGCUGCUGCUGCCUAUUAAAAGCGACGAACUGCUGCUCGUUUCGGAAAGAGAGAGAAUGGGUGGGAAGGAAACGG
rnacentral:lncRNA from 1 species